UGGGGAAUUUUGGACAAUGGGCGCAAGCCUGAUCCAGCCAUUCCGCGUGCAGGAUGAAGGCCCUCGGGUUGUAAACUGCUUUUGGACGGAACGAAAAGGUGCUCUCUAAUACAGGGCGCUGAUGACGGUACCGUCAGAAUAAGCACCGGCUAACUACGUGCCAGCAGCCGCGGUAAUACGUAGGGUGCAAGCGUUAAUCGGAAUUACUGGGCGUAAAGCGUGCGCAGGCGGUGAUGUAAGACAGGUGUGAAAUCCCCGGGCUUAACCUGGGAACUGCAUUUGUGACUGCAUCGCUGGAGUGCGGCAGAGGGGGAUGGAAUUCCGCGUGUAGCAGUGAAAUGCGUAGAUAUGCGGAGGAACACCGAUGGCGAAGGCAAUCCCCUGGGCCUGCACUGACGCUCAUGCACGAAAGCGUGGGGAGCAAACA
rnacentral:rRNA from 1 species